GACGAACGCUGGCGGCGUGCUUAACACAUGCAGGUCGAACGAAAAGAGGGAAAGAGCUUGCUCUUUCCGGAAUUGAGUGGCAAACGGGUGAGUAACACGUAAACAACCUGCCUUCAGGAUGGGGACAACAGACGGAAACGACUGCUAAUACCGAAUAAGUUCCAAGAGCCGCAUGGCCCAUGGAAGAAAAGGUGGCCUCUACCUGUAAGCUAUCGCCUGAAGAGGGGUUUGCGUCUGAUUAGCUGGUUGGAGGGGUAACGGCCCACCAAGGCGACGAUCAGUAGCCGGUCUGAGAGGAUGAACGGCCACACUGGAACUGAGACACGGUCCAGACUCCUACGGGAGGCAGCAGUGGGGAAUCUUCCGCAAUGGGCGAAAGCCUGACGGAGCAACGCCGCGUGAGUGAUGACGGCCUUCGGGUUGUAAAACUCUGUGAUCCGGGACGAAAAGGCAGAGUGCGAAGAACAAACUGCAUUGACGGUACCGGAAAAGCAAGCCACGGCUAACUACGUG
rnacentral:rRNA from 1 species